ensembl:lncRNA
CCUCUGUUCCCGUGCCAUCCCAUGGCAGAUGCCUGGUAGGGUCAGCUCUCCCGCACCCUCCCACCGUGGCCAGCUGCACUGUGCUUUCUCAGUGAGAUAUAGGCCAGCUUUCCAGAGAACUGCAUCCAGUGAGGGGCAAGGACAGUUAGGCACAACCCCUUGACAUCCACAUGGUCCCUGUGAGUGUCUCAAACAGGGUGUCCCUGUCUUCUAUAGUGGUAAUAUGAGCCACGGACAUCAGCCCCAACUCACGCUGCUUCGGAGCCACAGACUCUCACUUGGCUCUCAGUGGCAGCUCGGGUUGGGACCUCACCGUGACCUCAGGUGGCGCAACUGGCCGCUCACAACAGGCUCCUCCUCUCCACAUGCUCAUGCUGCUCCACAGCAAAGGGAAGGUUUCCCUGUCCUGAAUCACUUGCUCCUUUCCCGAUAGCCCGAGGCACAGCCCGAUUCCUUUUCGCUGUAAGGAUGAAGACAAGUUCAACUAAUCACCAAACGUGAACGAGUGUGAACAGCUUUUGAAUUGCCACAACCAUCUUGGUGAUUUUCUUCUGUAAAUAUAACCCACUUUCCGGAUAUGCAAGCCACUCUUGCUCAGAGGCCAAGCAAAUGCUCUCCGUAGUGACCCAGCAUUAGCAUGUGAGCUUCAAGCAUGCUCCAAGCAAAAGAAUAAACAUAAACAGAUAAUUUAGUAGGAACUGCAAGAAAAGGGGCUUUCCCAUCAUCACCGCACAUCAUCAAACAGGGAAGAGACACUCAGCAUGUCAGAGACCAGUGCUCCUCCAACACCCAUGAGAAAGCCUACCAAGUGUGCAGACAAUGAGCUGUGGCAUUCUGCUUUUGCCACAAUUAGCAGAACGCGUCAGUAAAAGAUUUCCCAAAGGAAAGCGUUACCUGAAGACGGAAGGUCUACCUGCAUCAUGGGUGGUGCAUCCCAGGGCGUGCGGUUCCGGACUGGAGAACCAGAGGAGACAGGGAGUCGAGCACCAGCACUCAUCUCAUUCUGCUUCCUGACCACCGAUUCAAUGUGACAUCACUUUAUCCUCUGCUAACAGCACUUUCCCCGCUCUGAUGGACUAGAUCCCCAAAGCCUUUCCCUUAAGUUGCUUCUCAUCUGGUAUUGGCUCAUGGUGAUGGGGAAAGUAUGUAGUGCCACCCAGUGACCAAGGCAGCACAGAUGGGAAAUACUGUGGACUUUGAAGAGAUGGGGCUUGGUAGGAGAUCCUUACGUCAUCUGAGGCAUGACCCUAAAAGCAACUGUGGGAUGCUGGCUGCUCCUCAUCACUUCUCAACAUCUACAGUUUUUGCUGCAUUAUGUAUUUUGGUCAUGAUAUGCUGCCCUCAUCAAAGGCAUAAAUCAAGAAGGCGACUGACUACGGACUGGGGCAUUCACCAGGAUAGGGCAAAAUGAACCUAUUCUCUUCCUAAGUUAAAUGUGUCAGAGGUUUGUUUGUAGUAACACAGUUGAUAAGAGGGCAGGUCCUUUUUAUCUGUGACAGAGCAUUUUCAUUUUCAACCAGACACAGUCUAGAGUCACACAGGAAGAGAAUUUCAGUGAAAGGUUGUCUAGGUCAGCUUGAGUUGUGGGCAUUUCCAGAGGCGUCACCUUGACUGUGGCAUCUGAGGUUAAAGACUCACUCACUAUGGGUAGCACCAUUCCCCUCCAAGGAGAUUCUGAGCUGUCUAAGGGUAGAAGAGCUGAGCUAAGCACUAGCAUGCAUGGCUGAACUCUUGCUGUCUGAUCUUUACUACGGACAUGUUAGGAACAAUUGUUUCAGGUUCUUUCUGCCUUGGCUUUUCACAAGGAUGGCUAUGACCUCGGAUUGUACCCCAAACCCCCUUUGCUCCUUUAAGUUGAUUUUGUCAUGGUAUUUCCUGUUUUCAUAGCAACAGGAAACAAAAUGAAGACAAUAUUACUCUUCUUGUUUUAAUAUGUUUGAUAUUUUUAACACAAAAUAUUUUUUAAAAAUAGUAACUGCAACAUUUAUGUUUUUAUUUUCACCUAAUGGAUCCUGGGCAGAUUAAUAACUUCCAAUAAUUUGAACAUUGAAAUUAUUUCUAUAUGCAUCAAACAAUUUUCUACAAAUCAAAUGCUUUUCUUAAGAAUAAACAUAUUUUACUCAUUUUAAAAGGUAAUUUCAUUUUCUUUGCAGUACUGGGGAUUGAACACAGAGUUUUGUGUAUGUUAUGUACAUGACUUCAUAUUGAAUUGCUGCUUUAUCCCUCACCUAAUAUGAAAUUAAUUCUGAACCAAGUAUAUGCAAAAAGGUG